rnacentral:tRNA from 1 species
GGGUCCAUAGCUCAGUCGGUAGAGCAACUGACUUUUAAUCAGUAGGUCGCUGGUUCGAAUCCAGCAGGGCUCA